rnacentral:rRNA from 1 species
CAAAUCACAAACAUAUAAAAUUAACUAAACAAAACAUUUGACCAACCCAGUAGAUGUGAUCGAACAGUAAACUUAACCACACUAGUACCGUAAGGGAAUAACAAAAGCAACAAACAGCAAAGAUAAAACCUUGUACCUUUCGCAUCAUGGUCUAGCAAGAAACCAAAGACAAGAAGAAUCAUAGCCUUCACCCCGAAACCAGAUGAGCUACCUCAAAGCAGCCUAAUGGGCGCACCCUUCUCUGUAGCAAAAGAGUGGGAAGACUUAGAGGUAGAAGUGAAACGCUUAUCGAAUCUGGAGAUAGCUGGCUACCCAAAACAGAAUUUUAGUUCCACCUUAAACCAUAACAAUAACCACUUAUUUAUCUUUAAGGAUAAUCAAUAGGGGUACAGCCCUAUUGAAACAGGAUACAACCUGAAUUUGAGAGAAAUAAACACAUUUCCACCAAGUAGGCCUUAAAGCAGCCACCUUAUACAAUAUCGUUAAAGAAUUCAACCAAAAACCCAAACAUUAACUAAAAACUCCAAACAAACUAAAGGUAAACUCAUAACUAUGAGUACUAUUAUGCUAGAACUAAUAAUAAGACAACCUCUCUACAUGCACCUAUCCACUAGACCGGAUAAACCACUAGUUAUUAACAGACCACAAUAGGAAAAACAAACCAAUACCCACCUUAAAAUAAACUGUGACCCCAACACAGGCGCAUUAAAAAGAAAGAUCCACUAUUAUAAAAGGAACUCGGCAAACAAAGACCCCAACUGUUUAACAAAAACAUAACCUUUAGCCAAACAAAUAUUAAAGGCAACGCCUGCCCAGUGAACAUUAAACGGCCGCGGUACCCUAACCGUGCAAAGGUAGCGUAAUCAUUUGUCUACUAAUUAUAGACCUGUAUGAAAGGCAAAAUGAGGGCCUAACUGUCUCUUAUAAUAAAUCAAUUAAACUGAUCUCCUAGUAAAAAAGCUAGAAUCCUCACAUAAGACCAGAAGACCCUGUGAAGCUUAAACUAAACUAUUAAACCACAUAAUAGCUACUUUCGGUUGGGGCGACCUUGGAAAAAAAAAGAACUUCCAAACACUUGACUCAUACCUCAAACCACCUUAAGGCCCACAAGCCAACAAACGACCCAGCACAGCUGAUAACUGAACCAAGUUACUCCAGGGAUAACAGCGCAAUCUUCUUCAAGAGCCCAUAUCAAAAAGAAGGUUUACGACCUCGAUGUUGGAUCAGGACAUCCUAAUGGUGCAGCCGCUAUUAAGGGUUCGUUCGUUCAACGAUUAACAGUCCUACGUGAUCU